UACGUAGGGUGCGAGCGUUGUCCGGAUUUAUUGGGCGUAAAGAGCUCGUAGGCGGUUUGUCGCGUCGGCCGUGAAAUCUCCACGCUUAACGUGGAGUGUGCGGUCGAUACGGGCAGACUUGAGUUCGGUAGGGGAGACUGGAAUUCCUGGUGUAGCGGUGAAAUGCGCAGAUAUCAGGAGGAACACCGAUGGCGAAGGCAGGUCUCUGGGCAUUAACUGACGCUGAGGAGCGAAAGCAUGGGGAGCGAACAGG
rnacentral:rRNA from 1 species